rnacentral:rRNA from 1 species
CCUACGGGUGGCUGCAGUAAGGAAUAUUGGUCAAUGGACGAAAGUCUGAACCAGCCAUGCCGCGUGGAGGAUGAAGGCCCUCUGGGUUGUAAACUUCUUUUAUAUGGGACGAAAAAAGGUCUUUCUAGAUCGUCUGACGGUACCAUAUGAAUAAGCACCGGCUAACUCCGUGCCAGCAGCCGCGGUAAUACGGAGGGUGCAAGCGUUAUCCGGAUUCACUGGGUUUAAAGGGAGCGUAGGUGGACUGGUAAGUCAGUGGUGAAAUCUCCGGGCUU